rnacentral:rRNA from 1 species
CUGCAUGAAGUCGGAAUUGCUAGUAAUCGCGGAUCAGCAUGCCGCGGUGAAUACGUUCCCGGGCCUUGUACACACCGCCCGUCACACCAUGAGAGUUAGGAAUACCCGAAGCCUGUGAGCCAACUUUAUAAGAGGCAGCAGUCGAAGGUAGAACUAAUGAUUGGGGUGAAGUCGUAACAAGGUAUC